rnacentral:tRNA from 1 species
UGAGUUAAAGCCCGCUGGGUUGGGUGUUUAGUUGUUAAUUAAAAUUUUACGGGAUCGAGGCCCGUUAGCUCAG